CCAAUCAAACCGGGAGAUAGCUGGUUCUCCCCGAAAGCUAUUUAGGUAGCGCCUCGUGAAUUCAUCUCCGGGGGUAGAGCACUGUUUCGGCUAGGGGGCCAUCCCGGCUUACCAACCCGAUGCAAACUGCGAAUACCGGAGAAUGUUAUCACGGGAGACACACGGCGGGUGCUAACGUCCGUCGUGAAGAGGGAAACAACCCAGACCGCCAGCUAAGGUCCCAAAGUCAUGGUUAAGUGGGAAACGAUGUGGGAAGGCCCAGACAGCCAGGAUGUUGGCUUAGAAGCAGCCAUCAUUUAAAGAAAGCGUAAUAGCUCACUGGUCGAGUCGGCCUGCGCGGAAGAUGUAACGGGGCUAAACCAUGCACCGAAGCUGCGGCAGCGAACGUAUCACCCAAGACAACUUUACGGAGUUGACGAUUGACGGAGCGAAGCGACGUCAAAGCGUUCAUUAAAGUCGAGUUGGCUUAGGGAUACGUUCGUUGGGUAGGGGAGCGUUCUGUAAGCCUGUGAAGGUGUGUCGUGAGGCAUGCUGGAGGUAUCAGAAGUGCGAAUGCUGACAUAAGUAACGAUAAAGCGGGUGAAAAGCCCGCUCGCCGGAAGACCAAGGGUUCCUGUCCAACGUUAAUCGGGGCAGGGUGAGUCGACCCCUAAGGCGAGGCCGAAAGGCGUAGUCGAUGGGAAACGGGUUAAUAUUCCCGUACUUGGUGUUACUGCGAAGGGGGGACGGAGAAGGCUAUGUUGGCCGGGCGACGGUUGUCCCGGUUUAAGCGUGUAGGUGUGUGUUCCAGGUAAAUCCGGUUCACUUUAACACUGAGGCGUGACGACGAGGCACUACGGUGCUGAAGCAACAAAUGCCCUGCUUCCAGGAAAAGCCUCUAAGCAUCAGGUAACAUCAAAUCGUACCCCAAACCGACACAGGUGGUCAGGUAGAGAAUACCAAGGCGCUUGAGAGAACUCGGGUGAAGGAACUAGGCAAAAUGGUGCCGUAACUUCGGGAGAAGGCACGCUGACAC
rnacentral:rRNA from 1 species